UACGUAGGGUGCGAGCGUUGUCCGGAAUUAUUGGGCGUAAAGGGCUCGUAGGCGGUUUGUCGCGUCGGGAGUGAAAACCCAGGGCUUAACUCUGGGCUUGCUUUCGAUACGGGCAGACUAGAGGUAUGCAGGGGAGAACGGAAUUCCUGGUGUAGCGGUGAAAUGCGCAGAUAUCAGGAGGAACACCGGUGGCGAAGGCGGUUCUCUGGGCGAGUUGACCUGACGCU
rnacentral:rRNA from 1 species